rnacentral:lncRNA from 1 species
GUUCUGAUUAUCAUAUUUCAGCCUCGCCGCUGCGCUGCGCCACUGGCCGCUCGGCGAGCCCGCGGGAGAGGAUUAGGGCUCCCGAGGCCGCUGGCUCCGUGCUCAGGCUGUUGCUCCCCGAAGCUCGGGCUGCCCGGAGGCUCUGGCUUUUGGCCUCCCUCUCCUCCACCUCCUUCCCCUCCCUGCUCCUUCCCGGCCGCGCCGCCUCUCGCGCUGCUCCUCCGCCGUGCGCUCCAGGGGUCCCCGCAGUCCGCCGGCUGCGUUGAGCGCGGGGCUCACUUUUCUUUCGCCGGUGGCGAGUGGCUGGAAGGGGUAUAUUACAGAAGAACAGCGAAAUACCUAUUUCUCUUCACCGAGUGUGGAUAUUUCCUCUCGGGGAAACAACCUGGGGAGAGAAGAUUGCUGUGUGCAUCUAGCCGGUAACUUUUUCCAGUCAUUUCUUACAUGUUUCCAUCAUCUCUUCCAAUCUCCUAAAGAGAAAGUCCCAGAAAGCCCAAGAAGAACCCCCCCCCCCCCCCCGCUUCCCCCAAAGCUUCCAAACAGCUAUUCCUUAUCUAUUGGGUCUGCCAGUUUUAUCUAAAAAAGCCUACAAACACAAGCUGUAGAAGGCUUAAUUUCGGUGCCUUGUGGCGGCGAGAAGACCCGGUGGGUUAGGAAACUGCUUUCAUUGUAUCUCUCACCAGAUCUAGUCCUUGAUAAGACCUGCGAGCCCUCCUCCGGCCUUUGAGGCCGGGGUUAAAUGACAUUGCCUCUCCAGAGCGCAGAGACCAGCUAAAGCCCG